AAAAAGUUCCUACAGUAAGCUUACGUAUACAAGCAAUCAGAUCUCUCAACGUUUCUCGAUAUAGCAUAUAACUGGGAAACGAAACGCAAUUCGAUGGUACUGCCGACUCAAACGAACAACGGAUAGUCGCGUUUUUCUCGACGGUUAGUGCCAUAGUAUAGAACCGUUUCGUCUCGUUGCAGUCCAGUAAUUCGAUGAAUUUCGAGUAUGAGAGGUACGUCGUAGCCGGGCGAGCCCUCAAUUAAGCGAAACGGUUCGUCGGCCAUGAGGAUGCGGCCUGAUGUUCGUGCGGACGAGAAGCAGUCGUAGCAGAGAAUCUGUCCCAAGCUCCUGCGCUCAACCUUUCUAUCUUCCUCGUUUCCCCUUCUCGAUCUACCCAUCUAUUCGUGUAUCUAUCCCGGUCUCUCUUCCCGGCUGUCUUAAAUUAGAAUUUCAGGUGAGUCGUUCUGAAAUCCGAUUCGACGACUCUACAUGCGACAGCGCGGAGCGGGGAUUCGUAAUCGAUCGCAGCUCGAGCUGCGUCGAAAGUGAGAGAAACGCAGAAAGUUGCUAAAAGUGGCCGGAUAAAAAGGGUGACAGAGACGGUGAAAGGGGCAGAAAGUUAGAGGAACGGAGUACGGAAGGAUUUGUAGAGGGCAAAAGAAAGAGCGAGAUAGAGAAGAUAACGAGAAGACUGAAAUUUAACGAAGAGAGCAGAUCUUUGUGCUAUGGAAAACGGCAUGCGAUUCGAGUGCUUAUUGGAUGUUCAAUAAUAAUACCUCUAAAGCGAGAGUCUGCUACGAAAAGUCAUACAGAUGAAUCCAUUAGCAGUCCUCGGACAAAAGUUACAAACUCGUCCUCCACCCUCCGUAAGACUACGCUCUACAACUCUUUAUCUUUAUUAAGAUAUCUUUUAAAACUUGUAACAACGACUAAUGGCAUUAUUAUCUGCUGUUUUACACAUCUAUUAAAUUAAUAAAAGAUGAAGAGAAGUAGCUUCAAGAAUUUCUUUGUAAAAAGUUGGGCAUUAAUUAUUAGAAAAAUUUCAACAAAGGAAUUUACAAUUCUAAAAAUUCUAUAGAAAAUUUCCUGAAUUCUAGCAGAAAAAUUAAAGUCCCAUGACAAAUUUCGAUAUCCCGACGCAAAAGUUCUGAAACGUUUUCGAAAUACCAAAUUUAUCUUCAGACAUCUCACAGAACAUGAUGUCAACGAGUUUUUCACUCUUGCGAGAAAGGAGGAAAAGUUCGCGUGAACAAGGUGUUUCAUGACCAUUUUCUACUUUCGUCCUGCGUUGCCGAGCCUAUCAACCAUUUAUAAAAAAUGAUAAGGAAGAACGACAGGCCCGGUCAGAUACAAAUUACCGGUAUGUUGCGUCAAGUUAGAUGGAAACUAGCCUUGGGAAUUGAGGGAGGCGCACAGGGAAAUCGCUAUACACCUUUUACCUCCAUCUACUGCAUCCUCCUUACUAAACAUUUAUCCUACGAGUGCCUGCCCUUUCUAGCUUUUCUGUAAUAGGACUAGCGUAACAUUGGUCAAGAACUGCAAGUUACUCCAAUCUCCUUAGUGAGUGUGUAUAUUCUGCUGUCAAACUCAUUAGGAUGCAGCAGCUACUCGAUCGAAACAUUGUUUCACGCCACUGCGACGAUUCUCCUUUUCGCUUAGCGUUCACUCUGCCCCAAAGGAGAGGAACGUUCGCGAAAGUCGUCGAAAACGUCGCGACGAUACAACGCGUAACGUAUCAACGACACCGACUAUUGAAACCCGAAGAAUAACAAAUAUAUCAGGUAUACGAGUUAUACAAAGUGUAUAGAAAUUAUACGUCACGAUUGUUUAUGACGGAAUUUUAUACGUAUGGCCUGGGUUAUGAAGAUGCAUU